rnacentral:misc_RNA from 1 species
UAUUCUCACUUCGCGGUUAAAGCUCGACUGUUUUCUUCAUCCGAUUUGUUUCUUUUGUCGCCCUUCAAUAUCCCCACUACGCACUCGUUCGUUAGGCAUCCGCCACUGUUGCCACGUACUCCUUUUUCCAAAUAUUCGGCGGAAGGAUCGUAGGAAUAUCGAAGGCUCAUUAGGCCUGUUGGCCUUACGCUUCGCUGAUGUACUUUGUGUACCAACGAAACCGUUAGAAAGUUUUGUUGUCGAAUGCCGCUACAGUCUAAUAUCAAAUGUUACAAGAUUUUCUACGAGUACGGCGGCCUUGAGCAAGGCCGUGGCAUUGAAAUCCAAGCGCCGCUUUAAUUUAUACCGGACGUUGAACCCUCGGCUGGCUUACACGACUACUUCACCGACUGGAGCAACUGCAUAAUACUCCAGCUGCAUAUAUACAUACUAUACAUACGUG